UACGGAGGGUGCGAGCGUUGUCCGGAAUUACUGGGCGUAAAGGGUGCGUAGGUGGUUUGUUAAGUCCGUUGUGAAAUCCCUGGGCUCAACCUGGGAAUGGCAGUGGAUACUGGCAAGCUAGAGUGCGGUAGAGGGUAGUGGAAUUCCCGGUGUAGCAGUGAAAUGCGUAGAGAUCGGGAGGAACACCAGUGGCGAAGGCGGCUACCUGGACCAGCACUGACACUGAGGCACGAAAGCGUGGGGAGCAAACAGG
rnacentral:rRNA from 1 species